rnacentral:rRNA from 1 species
ACGAACGCUGGCGGCGUGCUUAACACAUGCAAGUCGAACGGAAAGGCCCUGCUUUUGUGGGGUGCUCGCGUGGCGAACGGGUGAGUAACACGUGAGUAACCUGCCCUUGACUUUGGGAUAACUUCAGGAAACUGGGGCUAAUACCGGAUAGGAGCUCCUGCUGCAUGGUGGGGGUUGGAAAGUUUCGGCGGUUGGGGAUGGACUCGCGGCUUAUCAGCUUGUUGGUGGGGUAGUGGCUUACCAAGGCUUUGACGGGUAGCCGGCCUGAGAGGGUGACCGGCCACAUUGGGACUGAGAUACGGCCCAGACUCCUACGGGAGGCAGCAGUGGGGAAUAUUGCACAAUGGGCGGAAGCCUGGUGCAGCAACGCCGCGUGCGGGAUGACGGCCUUCGGGUUGUAAACCGCUUUCGCCUGUGACGAAGCGUGAGUGACGGUAAUGGGUAAAGAAGCACCGGCUAACUACGUG